AUUGAACGCUGGCGGCAUGCCUUACACAUGCAAGUCGAACGGUAACAGGUCUUCGGAUGCUGACGAGUGGCGAACGGGUGAGUAAUACAUCGGAACGUGCCCGAGAGGGGGGGAUAACGAAGCGAAAGCUUUGCUAAUACCGCAUACGAUCUCAGGAUGAAAGCAGGGGACCGCAAGGCCUUGCGCUCACGGAGCGGCCGAUGGCAGAUUAGGUAGUUGGUGGGAUAAAAGCUUACCAAGCCGACGAUCUGUAGCUGGUCUGAGAGGACGACCAGCCACACUGGGACUGAGACACGGCCCAGACUCCUACGGGAGGCAGCAGUGGGGAAUUUUGGACAAUGGGCGCAAGCCUGAUCCAGCCAUGCCGCGUGCAGGAUGAAGGCCUUCGGGUUGUAAACUGCUUUUGUACGGAACGAAAAGACUCUGGUUAAUACCUGGGGUCCAUGACGGUACCGUAAGAAUAAGCACCGGCUAACUACGUGCCAGCCGCCGCAGUAACAC
rnacentral:rRNA from 1 species